rnacentral:tRNA from 1 species
GGAAGGGUGUCAGAGUGGUCGAAUGUACCUGUCUCGAAAACAGGUGUGCCGCAAGGUACCGCAGGUUCAAAUCCUGUCCCUUCCGCCA